rnacentral:rRNA from 1 species
UACAUAGGUCUCAAGCGUUGUUCGGAUUCAUUGGGCGUAAAGGGUGCGUAGGCGGCGCGGUAAGUCGGGUGUGAAAUCUCGGGGCUUAACUCCGAAACUGCAUUCGAUACUGCCGUGCUUGAGGACUGGAGAGGAGACUGGAAUUUACGGUGUAGCGGUGAAAUGCGUAGAUAUCGUAAGGAAGACCAGUGGCGAAGGCGGGUCUCUGGACAGUUCCUGACGCUGAGGCACGAAGGACAGGGGAGCAAACGGG